CCUACUUUAGUCAUCAGUGGGGAAUAUUUCACAAUGGGGGAAACCCUGAUGCAGCGACGCCGCGUGAGUGAAGAAGUAUUUCGGUACGUAAAGCUCUAUCAGCAGGGAAGAAAAUGACGGUACCUGACUCAGAAGCCCCGGCUAACUACGUGCCAGCACGCGCGGUAAUACGUAGGGGGCCAGCGUUAUCCGGAUUUACUGGGUGUAAAGGGCGCGUAGACGGCAGCGCAAGUCGGGAGUGAAAUCCCAUGGCUUAACCAUGGAACUGCUUUGGAAACUGUGCAGCUAGAGUGCAGGAGAGGUAAGCGGAAUGCGUGGUGUAGCGGUGAAAUGCGGAGAUAUUAGGAGGAACACCAGUGGCGAAGGCGGCUUACUGGACUGUAACUGACGUUGAGGCUCGAAAGCGUGGGGAGCAAACAGGAUUAGAUACCCUGGUAGUC
rnacentral:rRNA from 1 species